rnacentral:rRNA from 1 species
AGUGAACGCUGGCGGUAGGCCUAACACAUGCAAGUCGAACGGCAGCACAGUAAGAGCUUGCUCUUACGGGUGGCGAGUGGCGGACGGGUGAGGAAUACAUCGGAAUCUACUUUUUCGUGGGGGAUAACGUAGGGAAACUUACGCUAAUACCGCAUACGACCUACGGGUGAAAGCAGGGGAUCUUCGGACCUUGCGCGAUUGAAUGAGCGGAUGUCGGAUUAGCUAGUUGGCGGGGUAAGGGCCCACCAAGGCGACGAUCCGUAGCUGGUCUGAGAGGAUGAUCAGCCACACUGGAACUUAGACACGGUCCAGACUCCUACGGGAGGCAGCAGUGGGGAAUAUUGGACAAUGGGCGCAAGCCUGAUCCAGCCAUACCGCGUGGGUGAAGAAGGCCUUCGGGUUGUAAAGCCCUUUUGUUGGGAAAGAAAAGCAGCAGGUUAAGACCCCGCUGUUCUGACGGUACCCAAAGAAUAAGCACCGGCUAACUUCGUG